rnacentral:rRNA from 1 species
UACGUAGGGUGCGAGCGUUGUCCGGAAUUACUGGGCGUAAAGAGCUCGUAGGUGGUUUGUCGCGUUGUUCGUGAAAUCUCACGGCUUAACUGUGAGCGUGCGGGCGAUACGGGCAGACUAGAGUACUGCAGGGGAGACUGGAAUUCCUGGUGUAGCGGUGGAAUGCGCAGAUAUCAGGAGGAACACCGGUGGCGAAGGCGGGUCUCUGGGCAGUAACUGACGCUGGGGAGCGAAAGCGUGGGGAGCGAACAGG